AUACGGAGGGUGCAAGCGUUACUCGGAAUCACUGGGCGUAAAGCGCGCGCAGGCGGCUAUUUAAGUUGGAUGUGAAAGCCUACGGCUCAACCGUAGAACUGCAUCCAAAACUAUUUAGCUAGAGUGUGGGAGAGGAAGAUGGAAUUAGUUGUGUAGGGGUAAAAUCCGUAGAGAUAACUAGGAAUACCAAAAGCGAAGGCAAUCUUCUGGAACACUACUGACGCUGAGGCGCGAAAGCGUGGGUAGCAAACAGGAUUAGAAACCCUAGUAGUCC
rnacentral:rRNA from 1 species